rnacentral:misc_RNA from 1 species
GAUGAAGAACGCAGCGAACUGCGAUAAGUAAUGUGAAUUGCAGAAUUCAGUGAAUCAUCGAGUCUUUGAACGCACAUUGCGCCCCCUGGCAUUCCGGGGGGCAUGCCUGUCCGAGCGUCAUUGCUGCCCUUCAAGCCCGGCUUGUGUGUUGGGUCGUCGUCCCCCCCGGGGGACGGGCCCGAAAGGCAGCGGCGGCACCGCGUCCGGUCCUCGAGCGUAUGGGGCUUUGUCACCCGCUCGAUUAGGGCCGGCCGGGCGCUAGCCGGCGUCUCCAACCUUCUAUUUUACCAGGUUGACCUCGGAUCAGGUAGGGAUACCCGCUGAACUUAAGCAUAUCAAUAAGCGGAGGA